CCUUUUUGCUGUGGCGAACUCUGAGAUAUCUAGAGUAAUAAAAACAAGGAGCAACGAUGGGUAAGGAAAAGACUCACAUCAACAUUGUCGUCAUUGGUCAUGUCGACUCUGGAAAAUCAACUUCCACUGGCCAUCUCAUUUACAAAUGUGGUGGUAUUGACCAGAGAACCAUCCAAAAGUUCGAGAAGGAAGCUGCUGAGAUGGGAAAGGGUUCAUUCAAAUACGCCUGGGUGUUGGACAAACUGAAGGCAGAGCGUGAACGUGGUAUCACCAUUGACAUUGCUCUGUGGAAGUUCGAAACCACCAAGUACCAUGUCACCAUUAUUGAUGCUCCCGGCCACAGAGAUUUCAUCAAGAACAUGAUUACAGGAACUUCACAGGCUGACUGUGCUGUGUUGAUCAUUGCUGCUGGUACUGGUGAAUUUGAAGCUGGUAUCUCGGCUAACGGACAAACCCGUGAACACGCCUUGUUGGCUUCAACAUCAAGAACGUGUCCGUAAAGGAAAUCCGUCGUGGAAAUGUCUGUGGAGAUAGCAAAAAUGAUCCACCAAAGGGCGCCAAGAACUUCCUUGCCCAGGUCAUCAUCUUGAACCACCCUGGUGAGAUCAAGAAUGGAUAUGCGCCUGUCCUUGAUUGCCACACUGCUCACAUUGCCUGCAAGUUUGUUGAAAUCAAAGAGAAAUGCGAUCGUCGUAGUGGAAAAGUCUUGGAAGAGGCACCAAAAUGCAUCAAGAACGGAGAUGCUGGUAUGGUCCUCAUGGUUCCCAGCAAGCCUAUGUGUGUUGAAGCUUUCUCUAAAUAUGCACCCCUGGGACGUUUUGCUGUCCGUGACAUGAGGCAGACCGUGGCUGUUGGUGUCAUCAAGGAGGUUGAGAAGGCUGAGCCAUCACAGGGCAAAGUCACCAAGGCUGCACAGAAAGCCGGUGGAAAGAAGUGAAAGUUACUGAACAUAGGAACUCUACAAUCCCAUCAGCUUCUAUCUUGUUUUGAUUUAAAGAGAAUAAAUGACAACGUGCCACUAUUUUAUUUUGUAAGACCACAGCAGGUCAUUUAUUGGACGAUUUGGAACAAUAUACAUCGCAAAGAAAUACGUCGGAAAGAACCGAUUGGAUGUAGUAACAACUCUAAUUAUGUCAAAUAAAAAUGGUCAUUUU
rnacentral:misc_RNA from 1 species